AACGACCUUUAUUUUAUUAUUUUUCGGAAUUAUUAAGCGUGAAAGUUUAAAAUUUUAAUCGAGAGCUUUGUUCUGAGAAAUUACAACGAACCGGUCGGUUUAUUUUAUUUUAGGUAGUCAAACACACCUUAAUUACUAAACAUACAAACAUCUGAUGUAACAAAACAAUAAAAUACGUGGGAAAGAAGAGAGCAACUACAGUUUUACUUUGUGGAACCUUUAACGGAUCAUACUAAUCAAAUUAUAAGAUCCAAAGCUUUACCAAAACAUUGUUACAACUUCUGAUCAAUCAAAACACGCUUAUUUGUAUUAGUCUUUUUUUCCGAGAUUAAAGGAUCCUGUGACAAUAAUAUGACCAGUAAUGAUGAGGCGAAGACACAAGGCCCGGGGCCAGAGGCAGAGCCGGCACCAAAAAAUACAAGAGAAAAUUUGGGUAUCCCGCUUUGUAUUGUGUGCCUAGAUUUGCAUACGAGCAUCGCAGUGUUUCCUUGUAGACACUUGAAAUUGUGCUCCAAGUGUCAUAGAAAAUUAAAAGCCAUAGCAGCAGCUGAAGGCUUAAGUCAGUACAAAUGUCCAUACUGUAGAACACCUGUAGAAGAAGCUGUUAUGGUUAAAUUUUGACUCUGAAUAAAUUAGAAAUUUGUUCUAGUAUGAAAAA